rnacentral:SRP_RNA from 1 species
GCUGGGCGUGGUGGCGCGUGCCUUUAGUCCCAGCUACUCGGGAGGCUGAGGUGGGAGGAUCACUUGAGUCCAGGAGUUCUGGGCUGCAGUGCACUAUGCCGAUUGGGUGUCCGCACUAAGUUCGGCAUCAAUAUGGUGACCUCCCAGGAGCGGGGGACCACCAGGUUGCCUAAGGAGGGGUGAACCGGCCCAGGUCAGAAACGGAGCAGGUGAAAACUCCCAUACUGAUUGGAGUGCGUGGCUCAGUGGGUGGAGGUAUUUGUUUCGAUUUUCAAAUCAGAAUGGGCUUGGCUGCUCCCAGGAAGCCUUCUGAGUAAAGGCAGGCCUCCU